rfam:Capsicum annuum cultivar Zunla-1 chromosome 1, whole genome shotgun sequence
UUAUGAUGGUGUGGAAAGUCCCAAAGAAGAUCCUUGAAAUGCUCCCAAGCAUUAUAUAAAUUUUCAUCUAGCUUCUGUUUUAAGUACAUAAUCUCACUGCGAAGUCU